GCUGGGCAUGGUGGUGCGUGCCUGUAGUCCCAGCUACUCAGGAGGCUGAGGCAGGAGAAUUGCUUGAACCCGGGAGGCGGAGGUUGCAGUGAGCUGAGAUCAUGCCACUGCACUCCAGCCUGGGUGACAGAGCGAGACUCCGUCUCAA
rnacentral:SRP_RNA from 2 species